AUGUCUGGAAGACUGUGGUCCAAGGCCAUUUUUGCUGGCUAUAAACGGGGUCUCCAGAACCAAAGGGAGCACACAGCUCUUCUUAAAAUUGAAGGUGUUUAUGCCUGAGAUGAAACAGAAUUCUAUUUGGGCAAAAAGGCCCACGGAAACAGUGGCAUGGUUCAUGCCAAAUUCCAAAGCGAUCUUCCUGCUAAGACUAUUGGACACGGAAUCUGAGUGAUGCUGUACCCCUCAAGGAUU
rnacentral:lncRNA from 1 species